AUCCAGUGGAGACGGGAGAGAAGAGGGCAAUAAGGGAGGAAUACGGGGAAAGGCAGCUAUAAUCAAGGGCCAUUUGAGAGGUAGCAUGGAAACUCAACGCAGCAACUUUGUAAAAUAUACACACGCAAAAGAUCUAAAGAAACUGCCAAACAACGGGGCGAGACAGCCCCAACUGGACAUCUCUUAUCACCAACUGAAGCUUCCAGGACCAGGAUUGGGUUACAUCUAGCUGGGAUUCAGCCAUCCCCGAAAGGUUCUCACUCUGGAAGCAGCCAUGUUGGGAGGUGUUGUACCCUCUAGAGUAAUUAACUGAUGCGCUUCCUGGUGAGUCCUGGCUAUCGUGGGACUGGACUGGUCCCUCAGGAGUGGAUUACUCCACAGCAAGGUUACCCAGCCAUUCAGCCUCGUCCACACUGCCCUACUCACCACACUUGGCAGCGCUCCUGCAUGUUUUCUACUAUCCGUUAAAGCGGCCAGGAAGUCCUCAGAAGACUCCCGCACCACACACUAGGCUUUCCAGCCAGGAGACCCACACGGAGUGUCACAUCUCUUCUCCUUUCAUCGUCACCAAAGCCAAUGAGCAAGGCAUUACCGUUCCCAGCGUACACUGGGCUCAGAAAGACUGAAUCAUCUAAGAACACGCCACUGAAAACGCCCAGUCUGUUCUCAGGAUAACUAACUCACGCUGCUGGUGUGACAACUAGCGUGACUACUAACCGAUCAUCAGGGAGUAAAGAAGAAACACGGGAGGAACAAUUCAUUUGCAUCCCAGUGGUAUGAAGUGAGGUGACACACGACUUCAGCACACCGAUCAGAAUGGUGUGUUCUUUAAAGUGACAGUUCCUUUGUUCCCGGGAUUCCCCAUCUCACCUCUUUGGACUCUUCAAUACAACCAGCAGCUGAGGAGGCAGGACAGUCUUUUGAAGCCAGGACGUUUGAGUAUAACAAGUACCUAACAACACAGAAGGUAACUUUCUAACGUGGCUACUCCUUACUCCUCGAUGCUUUCUGGUACUCUCUCUUCUCUUGUUCAACAUUUCAAACAGCUUUCCAAGUUGUACUAAAUGAAUUCCAAGACCAUGGUGGGUCACCUCCCACAGUUAGGGGAGCGCUGACCUAUACCAUAUGUUUGUGAGCAUAUGGGCCACAGCCUAACCUCAACCAGAACAGAACACACAAAGCGGGGCAGGUUGCUGGUCUCCAUCCCUAACGGGCUGUCGUCAGCAGAUAAAACCCAUGAGCUUCGUUUCAGUGAGCUGCUCAGGAGACCGGCUUCUGCUCUGAAGUCGCUGAUUCUGUUCUAGACAUGUGACCGAAGGACAGGGAGAGGCUGGAUGAUUUUUCAAAGUCCCACUUCUAAUUGGUGGCAGAGACAGUAGCAAGGACCCUUGCCUCUGCCUGCCAGGCGAGUACGCUUCAACGCAUAAAGCUCCUUUGCUGAACCAUGCCCAUCUCUAGACCAGUAACCCAUACCUGACCUAUGCGCUAGGAACCAGAACUGCCAUGCCCAGUGGUGUUGUGGUUUGCCCUGAAGUAACUGUAUUUUGAUGCUAAUUCCACUGCCCCAAGGACAGCUGCCUAGUCAGGUACUCAGGACUCAGGUGACUUCACCAGAACCACCUCUCCAUUGAGUUUGUUAAGUACAGGUGAGGGGCAGGUACAGGAUAGAAGGAGGCCUGUCGUUGGAGGAGAAGGAAGGAUGGGCUGGAGAGAAGUUUGAAGGAAGAGGAG
ensembl:lncRNA